GGGCAGGGUGAGUCGACCCCUAAGGCGAGGCCGAAAGGCGUAGUCGAUGGGAAACAGGUUAAUAUUCCUGUACUUGGUGUUACUGCGAAGGGGGGACGGAGAAGGCUAUGUUAGCCGGGCGACGGUUGUCCCGGUUUAAGCAUGUAGGCUGGUUGUCCAGGCAAAUCCGGAUAAUCAAGGCUGAGGUGUGAUGACGAGGCACUACGGUGCUGAAGUAACAAAUGCCCUGCUUCCAGGAAAAGCCUCUAAGCAUCAGGUAACAUCAAAUCGUACCCCAAACCGACACAGGUGGUCAGGUAGAGAAUACCA
rnacentral:rRNA from 1 species